CGAGUAUUUUAAAGUUAAAAUAAUUGAAUAAUAUAAUUAGAAAUUCUUAAAGUUGUCUCAUUAUCAAAAACACUUGACAUCUCUCUAGAACCCUUUCGCUUAGUUCUCUCUUCAUUCUCUCUACAAUUUCUAACGCCUAGAUCAUUUGUUUGACAAUCAGGAGGUGUCUGAGCGAUCACGAUAUUAAAUCCUUCCUUUCGAUCCGAUUAAUUUUCUUGUAGAGCAAGUAAGUUUUUGUUCCUUUUUCCUUUAGUUCUUUUGUCAAAUGCAUACGUAGGAGUUCCUUCGCAUGUGUCAAUUCAAUUUAUUUUAUAGGUCUUCAUUGAUCAAAGGUCCUAAAGACUUGCUUUAAUAAUGUUUAUGUGUUUGUAGGUUUUUCUAAAGUUGCUUGAGCUCGAAGCAAAAGUAGUGAGCUGAGUUGUGAUAGUUUUUUUUUUUAAGGUAAGGGAAGCUAGUUUUUAUGUUUUGAGUAUUGUCAACACCUAAUUUCGUCCGGGUGACUGUUUUUGUCUUAUUUUAUUUUUAUUUUUAUUUUAUUUGCAUUUUAAUUUUGUUUUCAUUAUUUUAUUUCUAUGUUAGUUUUUUUUAUUACUUUUUUUUUUAGUUUUUAUUUUACUUUCUACUAUUCUCUUUUAUGUUAAUUUCUUUUUGUUGUUUAGUUUUAUUUUUAUUUUACUUUACUUUUUCUAUUAUGAUUUUCCUUUUUUCUUUUUGAUUUUAUUCUUAUUGAUUAUUUUAGUUUUGAUUUAAUAUAGUUAAGUAAAAAAAAAGAAAAAAAAAAGAAGAAAAAAAGGAAAAAAGAAAAAGAAAAAGGCUUUGUCAGUUUGUGAAAGGAAGGACAACAUGGUCUUGGCAAAGGAUGGAUUUUGGCAGAGGUUGUUGGUCUUGGCAGGCAAGGAAGGACACCACACUGCCCUCCACUACUCUGCUCCUCUAUACGUUUCCACCUCCUUCACCAAUAUCAUUCGGACCUUCUUACCAUUCCUACCUCUCCACUUCUACAUCCUCAUCACACACAACGUCUUCAUCGUCAUCCUUCACAUUUACCCAUCACAUACAACUCGUAUUCACCUCACCACCACGACCAGAGAGCAUGGAGUCGAGAACCAUUAUUCAUCUCCAACACCUGACCAUCAUGGACGAUUGAGAAACUAGAAAAAACCUUCACAGACGAAGCAUUCUGGAUUUCCCUUUCACUCCCAAUUGUUCAUCGGCAAUAUUUCAUUAUCUGCAAUAUCUCAUUACCACAAGAGGACCUUCACCAAAGGAUUCAGUUUCAAGCACCUCAUAAACGGAGCUUGAGCAUUGGAAACUCAUCACCAUUUACCUAUCGUCACAAUCUGGGAGGAAGAUACCUUACGGCCAGGGAAAAGGAGGACCAUUUGCCUUUACCCAGGAGAAUUCUGUUGAAGCUACAGAGGUAAGUUGCCCUAUCUAAGCUUCUCGGGUUUGGUCUUAUGCGAAUGUCUGUUCCCCUAUUGCAUGCCAUGCCUGAAUAUGAAUGAAUGGUGCUUGAUUAAUAAUAUAGUUGUGUUCUCUUCAUGGCAUCAUCGUUUAAUCAAAUACCUGCAAGAUUCAUCAUGUAUCACUAACAGUAGAGACUAGGUACAUGUUCUCCAACAUCAUGAUUUCAAUACCCCUCUACUUGUACCCAGAAAACACUAUAGAAAAAUGUAGAAGCAAAAUUAGAUGCAUUUCCAAAAUAGAAAAGAACAGAAAACCGAAACAACUUCCUCUCUAGCCAAACCAUAAGUCUUCUUCAAUCUGAACAGACACAGAUUCAUCACGUCCCUACUCCAUAUGCCCCUGUUCAAGAAAACACAGCAAGUCAUGAACCAAUUUCCCACCGUCUUCCAUCCCCUAUCCAGCCUCGUUCAUCAUUAGAAUUGAAUCAAGAACUCCCACAAAUGGAAACCCAAAAUCAAUACGCACAAAAACAGAACCAAUCACCAAAAACAAGGGCCAAUUUCCAACAUCCAUACACCAACCCAUAUUCAACCUACAACCAAAACGAAGCCAAAAAAUUUGAGCACCUGAAACACAGAAAGAUUCAAAAUUCAAAAAAACGAGAACCCAUCACAUAGAAUCCCCAAACAUUAUCUUGGCAAGCCUUUGAGGUUGUGUUAUCUGCGAACCUAGCAAUGAACCCCUCACGGGUGGAGGGCGCAGUAGCGUUUUGGGGGUGGUUGUGACGAUGGGGUUUUAGGGCUAGAGGAGGAUCUGGUUGUGGUGGUAGAGGUGGUCGGCUAUGACCGACAGCGACCUUGGGCCAUGACUAGUGGCGAUCCAUGAAGAGGAUAAUCUCUCAUGUGACGGUGAAGGUCGCGGUCGCUGGCGAGAGUGAGACGACGAGACUGUGAUGGCGACGCAGUGGUUGUCGAAGAGGAGCGGCGGUGCAUUGGAGGCAAAGCUUUAGCCCUAGGCUAGCGCGAGAGGAAGAGAAGGACAACGAUGAUGUCGCGGCCGGCGGUGGCUCCGGUAGGGCGCGUCGUCGCCGGUGACGCCAGGUGGAGAGAAAGCGGUUGUGUGUGGUCGUCGAAUGAAGGCGGUGCGGUGCGAGCUCUGACCCCGAGUUAGGCGAGAGAGAGACGCGAGACCUUGAGUCUCUGGUGUUUGAGUCUGAGAGUGAAGAAUGAGGGAAGAAAAUCUUGACCCCCUUAGAGCUUCUAGGUCGUGAGCACUUGGGCCAGAUUCAUGGGCCAUCCCCAUUCGCACCCCCCUUUUCUUCCAUCUACAACCCCCAUCUCUUGGGUUCGAGCCCAUUCUGUCAACCAAAAAAAAAAUCGUUUCUGCACCCCCUGUUUCCACUAAAUCACACCUCCAUCCAGUUUGGGUUUAAGCCCAGUUUGUUUAUAAUAAUAGUUUUUACACCCCUCUUUUGCCUAAACACCACCACACCCUUUUCACUUAUUAUUUUUAAUUUCUUAGUUUAUUUUAUUCCCACUUUUUAUUUUCAUUUAGUUAUUUAUUUAUUUAGUUAUUUUAUCUACUUUUAAAAUAAAUAUUAAAAAUCAACAAAAAAUUAUUUUAAAAGGUUGAAACACACGUGCGAUCAUUCUGUCUGCCUUGUGCUAAAAACUUUUUUUCUUCCUCUUCAAAAAAAAAAAUCAUAAAUUAUUUUAAAAGGUUUAAGCACACGUGCGACCGUUCUGUCUGCCUUGUGCUAAAAACCUUCUCCUUCUUUCAAAAAAAUAACAAAAAUUUAUUUUAAAAGGUUUAAGCAUACGUGCGACCAUUAUGUUUGCCUUGUGCUAAAAACCUUCUCCUUCUUUCAAAAAAUAACAAAAAUUUAUUUUAAAAGGUUUAAGCACACGUGCGACCAUUCUGUUUGCCUUGUGCUGAAAACCUUUUCUCUUUCUUUUAAAAAAUACAAAAUAAAAAUAAAUCUUCAAAAAACUAAAAAAAAACAUCUUCACAAACAAACAAUCAAUCUCUUAGCCAAAACUACGUGAUCCUUGAUUCUCCACCAAAAGUGGAGAUACGUAGGAGCAAGGCCAGUCCUUGUCAGGUUCACUUUCCAAAAAUCCAAAAAAAUUUCAAAUCUUUUUUUCAAACAAAUUUCUCAAGCAAUUUCUCAAACAAAUUACUCAAACAAAGUUUCCAAACGAUUAAAGAACUACGUAACCCUGAUUUCUCAGUCCAACUGAGAAUACGUAGGAGUAAGGUCAAUCCUUGUCGGGCACAAAAAACACAAAAAAAUAUUUUGUUUUCUUUAGAGUUUUAUUUUUUUAGGGGAAAUUAAACAUUUUGCAAACCACAUCAAAUUCGCGUAUUUAGUUAAAGGUACUGCCUUAGGGCAGGCGUUGUGGGGGUGCUAACACCUUCCCCACACAUAACCGACUCCUGAACCCAAUCUUUGGUUUUCGUGGACCGUGCUUUAUCAUUUUAUGGUUUUUCCGUAGUUUUCCAGAAUAAACUAUGGUGGCGACUCCAAAAACUUUUUUUCAAAAUUAGUUUUCCUUUUUUGGAUCGUCGUCGUCCCGUCGCGAUUUUCCGGUUGCGACAAGUAUUAAAUUUCAAGUAUAAUUGAUGAAUUUCUAUAAUGAUAAGAUGACUUAAUUAUAUUAGAGUGAAUGGUUUAUUGAUAAUUGUGUUUUGAUUUAGUGGAAUUAGUUGUGUGAUGUUUGAUGUCUUGUAUGAGUAUGUGAUUGAUUGGGAUAAACUUGUGAAUGAUGUUUUAUGAAAUGAUGGUCUAUAUUUUGGUUGAAAGGUUGAAUGGAAUUGUAUUUGUAAAAUUUUGGAUCAUGUUGGUAAAAAAGGAGUGGUAUUGAAAGGUGCUUCUUAGAAGAAAUGUCAAAAAGGGAGAAAUAGGAGUUUGGGAUCCAUGGUAAUGUCAUUUUGGGACAUGUUUGGGUGAUGAGUAAACCUGAGAAUGGUCUAGAACUACAUAAAAGAUGAUAGGUUGUGUUUUUCAAUGACUUUUAGGUGUAUUUUGAGGUUUUGAGUAGUGAAUUUUAGAAGUAGAGGGUUUAAGGUAAAAUGGAGGGUUUGAGGUAUGUUUUUGAGUCAAUUUGGACUUGUUCAGACCUCUAAGUUGCUCAGUUAUGAGUAAGAAUUGGUAAAAUUUAGUUAUGGUUCAUAAAGUAGGAAUUGAGUUGAAUUUGAAUGGAAAUUUCAUGGUAGAAGGAGUCAAAACAUGUUUAGAUUGGAUUACAUACAUAGGGAUAAAUUGGUUGUAACUGAGAAUUUCAAUUUGAAGUAUUAGAAGUUGGUGGAAGUGCAUGGUAGAGAACAUGAGAGGUUGAAGAGGUGUUUUUUUGGCAGAUUUAAAGUGCUGAUGAAUUAUGUAGAGGGGUUGGGCGACCAAAUUGCUCGUUGGGUGAGCAAAUAAGAGUUUCAACAGUGAGUUUCAAGGGCAGGGCAAGCUUCCUCGCUAAGCUGUGGGAGCUCCUUGUUUCCACACUCGUUGGGUGAAUGAUUUGGUUCGUUGAGCGAGUUUGUAAGGUGUUUUGGGCUUUGGUUACAAGGGCUAAGCGAGCAAGAUCAUUGGGCUAUUGGAGCUCACUGGUUUUGCUCUUGUUGGGUGAGUGAAGACUGCUCGUUGGGCGAGUGAAUCUGGGUUCUUUGGUUAUUUUAUUUGACUUCCUCUACUAUGGUUAGUUGUAAAUGGUAGGAUGGUUUAUCUUAUAUUCUACAAUAUGGUUGAAAAGUAUGAUGACAUAUGAAUGAUGGUUAUAAGGAGUUUAAUUAGAAUUCCUUUAAAUGAUUAUAUGUGUAAGUGCAUGUAUUGAUAUAAGAAAUUAGUAAUUAGAGGUUAUUCUGACGCUCUCAAUAACUUCCAGUCUCAAGAAGAGAAGGAUAGUUAUGUGGUGGAGAAUAAUAGGAGGUCCCUAGUCUAUUGGUUAAUUGUUUAGCCAUAGAUGCUUGAAAGGAUUAUGAAAUCCAUGUAUUCAGAUGAUUAGUCUAAAGUUAGAUGAUGAAAUGUGUAUGAAUAUUGUUUGGUUAUUUAUAAUUGAAUUAUAGAAUGACGUUGUGUAUAAUCUUAUAUGUAUUCUUUGAUAACUAGUUUACCCUUUUCUUUGUGUUUAUGUUUGUUUAUUUCUUAGGUUGCAAUAAUCAUCUUUAUGAUGUGAGCAGACAAGGAGCUGUCUUUGGAUCAAAUCUUAGACAAUAAGGAUAUAAUAGAAGAUUGAUCUUAGAUCAUUUAGUUUACUGAUAUUAUAUAUAUAUAUAUAUAUAUAUAUAUGUUUAUAGUUUUGUUUUAAUAAACUUCUAGUCGUACUUUAACUUUCAAAUGUAAAGUAUUUUGUUGAUGAAGAUUUUAUUUUAACUAUUCUAGUUUUAUUUACGUAUGAU
rnacentral:lncRNA from 1 species